GACCAAGGGUGGGAUGGGGUGUCCCCCCUGGGGGGGCUCUUGGCUCUCCUCAGAGGGGUCUGCGGAGCAGACGGCACCUGACAGCUGAUCCUCUGUUGCUCGACUCGUUUGAAUAAUUCGUUUUACUUUUGCCAUCCACAACAGGCCGAUCUGUGGUGAUAAUUGCCCAAACAUCAUCUCAAGCAAGCCUCACCAUAGGGAUCAGAGGACCACACCACUGGCGCUCACCUGUGCUUUAGCUAGCAAGAGCUAACGCUGGCCUUGACUGUGGCCUGGCUCAUGAGCUGUGGGGUAACAGGGUGGGAAGGGAGAGGGGCAGGGAGAGGGGCAGGACUGUCUCUGGGACAAGAACAUGAAUGUGGGUUGGACUUGCUCCCGGCCAUUUGCUUAGUGCCCAGUGGAGCUCGUGCCUUCCUGGUUCCUUCUGAAGCCCCAUCCCAGCACACCUCAGGUUUCUGGAAUGUUGUUUCCUUUUCUCCCCCUUCUGCUUCUUCUCCUCUUUUUCCCCAGGUGCUAAGGGUGAGGGUACCUCGUGCCU